GAUGAACGCUGGCGGCGUGCCUAAUACAUGCAAGUCGAGCGAACAGACGAGGAGCUUGCUCCUCUGACGUUAGCGGCGGACGGGUGAGUAACACGUGGAUAACCUACCUAUAAGACUGGGAUAACUUCGGGAAACCGGAGCUAAUACCGGAUAAUAUAUUUAACCGCAUGGUUCAAUAGUGAAAGACGGUUUUGCUGUCACUUAUAGAUGGAUCCGCGCCGCAUUAGCUAGUUGGUAAGGUAACGGCUUACCAAGGCAACGAUGCGUAGCCGACCUGAGAGGGUGAUCGGCCACACUGGAACUGGAACACGGUCCAGACUCCUACGGGAGGCAGCAGUAGGGAAUCUUCCGCAAUGGGCGAAAGCCUGACGGAGCAACGCCGCGUGAGUGAUGAAGGUCUUCGGAUCGUAAAACUCUGUUAUUAGGGAAGAACAAAUGUGUAAGUAACUAUGCACGUCUUGACGGUACCUAAUCAGAAAGCCACGGCUAACUACGUG
rnacentral:rRNA from 1 species